CGGGUGCCUGUAAUCCCAGCUACUCGGGAGGCUGAGGCAGAAAAUUGCUUGAACCCAGGAGGUGGAAACUGCAGUGAGCUGAGAUCACGCCGCUGCACUCCAGCCUGGGCGACAGCGAGACUCUGACUCGGGGGUGGGGAAAGAAAAAGAAAAAAAAAAAUAUCUAGGCACAGUGGCACAUGCCUGUAGUCCCAGCUACUGGGGAGGCUGAAGCAGAAGGAUCACUUGAGCCCACGAGAUGAAGACAACUGUACCACUGCUCUCCAGCCCAGAUGACAGUGAGACCCGGUUUCAAAAACAAAAGAAUUCUAGGCCGAAAAGCCUUUUUAACUGAUUUCUGGAGUCAUCAGUUGUUCCAUUGUCUCCUAGCUGUUCAUGUUUGUUUGCUCUUUGUAUUCCCAAGUAUUUACAAUAACCUAGAGUUUUAGAAGCCCCUCUUUCUUUAUCCUCAGGGUUCUGACACUUGACAAUGAUAAGCUUUGCUGUGGGGUCUUUCUCAGUCAUUGUCAGGGCCGCUUUCAAUCUAGAAGAUAAUGGCCUCAUUGCCAAGAAACUAUCUUGCAUUUUUGUUUUUUGUUUUGUUUUGUUUUGUUUUGUUUGAGACAAGGUCUGUUUCUGUCUCCCAGGAUGGAGUGCAGUGGUACAAUCCAGGCUCGUUGCACCCUCUGCCUUCCAGGCUCAAGCCAUCCCCAACCUCAGCCUCCCACGUAGCUGGGGCCAUAAGUACACAACUCCAUGCCUGGCUAAUUUUCAUAGUGUUUGUAGACACGGGAAGUGGGGGAUGGUGUCUCCCUAUGUUGCCAAGGCUGGUCUCAAACUCGUGAGCUCAAGUCAUCUGCCUGCCUUGGUCUCCCAAAGUGUUGGGAUUACAGGCAUGAGCCACCAUGCCUGGUGCCAAGAAACUAUCUUGCAUUCUAUGUUCAUUUCCUCCUUUCAGUUUUCUAUUCUUUCUGGAAUUCCUACUCAUCCUAUAUUGGGCUUCUAGACUUGUUCCUACAUUAGGAGGAGAGGAAAGAUAAAAAAACUAUCUCUAUUUUGCUUUUGGAAUAUCUCCUUGAGACAAUAGUAGAAUCUAAGCCUUCUUUUGAAGUUUUUUUUCUAUUUUUUAAUUUUAAGAACUUUCUUAUUCUGUUCCCUUUGUUAUCCUUUUUCUAGUAUCCUGUUCCUUUUUCAUGCAGACAAUGCUCUUUUGUAUCUCACUGAGGACAUUAACAUUCUCUUCCCUUUAAGACCUUUUCUCCCAUGUGUGGGGGCUUUCCUCAGAUGGCUGGUGACCCAGGGGUCUGAUCCCACUGAAGCACUAAGGUUGACAGGAAGCCUUCUGUGGGGCCAGCGCCAUCACUAACUUUCCCUCUGCAGGGUGCCUGGGGGUCUGGCAGGCAGGAGCUGUAGGACACUUCUCUGGGGGCAUUCAACCUCCCUCAGCAGGGACUCCCCACCUCCUGCCUGGCCAGGGAACUGACUGCUGGGCCCAUUGCUCAUUCGGGAUGCCCAGUUUCAGGCUGGUGCCUCACCCUGGCCUGUCUCUAGUAUCCCAUGCUGAAGCUUCCCUGGGUCAGGUGCUCCUGGAAUUAAACAUGAGGUCUCCUUCAAUUGUUGGCAAGAGCCAUCAUCUGGCCAAGUGGGCCCUGAAGUCUCUAGCUGACACUCCCUAGAGGUUUUCAACCCUCCCCCCUUGUUCCUGUCCCCCGAUCACUCCCACCUCUUGCCUUUCCUGGUACCUGAACAGAUGGUCUUCCUUCUCACCAGGAUGCCCUGUUCUGGCACAGAGAUUUCUGAAGCUUCCCUCAGCAGGUUGCCACCCUCCCUCCAUGUCCAUCUUCCAAAAUCUGAUCACAUCUUUGUCUUUUCCUCUAUUACUUUCUUUGUCUAUGGUGUUUUCUUUUUUGUGUAAGCCCUUUCCUGUUAUUUCAAUAGAGUUUAAGGGGGGAGCAGAGGUAAAAGCAGGCUUAACUACAAGUACCUCCAUCUGUAAUAUUUAAAUUAUUUUUCUCCUUUAUUCUUCCCAACUUGUGAUUAUGAAAAGGUUGAAGCUGCCGGGUACAGUGGCUCACGCCUGUAAUCCCAGCAUUUUGGGAGGCCAAGGCGGGCAGAUCACCUGAGGUCGGGAGUUCGAGACCAGCCUGACCAACACAGAGAAACCUCGUCUCUACUAAAAAUACAAAAUUAGCCAGGCGUGAUGGUGCAUGCCUGUAAUCCCAGCUACUGGGAAAGGCUGAGGCAGGAGAAUCGCUUGAACCCGGGAGGCAGAGGUUGUAGUGAGCCAAGAUCACACCAUUGCACUCCAGCCUGGACAACAAGAGCAAAAGUCUGUCUCAAAAAAAAAAAAAAAAAAAAAGAUAAGAAAAAAAAAAG
rnacentral:lncRNA from 10 species